GAUGAAGAACGUAGCGAAAAGCGAUAAGUAAUGUGAAUUGCAGAAUUCAGUGAAUCAUCGAAUCUUUGAACGCACAUUGCGCCCGCCAGUAUUCUGGCGGGCAUGCCUGUUCGAGCGUCAUUACAACCCUCAGGCCCCCGGGCCUGGCGUUGGGGAUCGGCGGAGCCCCCCGUGGGCACACGCCGUCCCCCAAAUGCAGUGGCGGUCCCGCCGCAGCUUCCAUCGCGUAGUAGCUAACACCUCGCGACUGGAGAGCGGCGCGGCCACGCCGUAAAACACCCAACUCUUCUGAAGUUGACCUCGAAUCAGGUAGGAAUACCCGCUGAACUUAAGCAUAUCAAUAAGCGGAGGA
rnacentral:misc_RNA from 1 species